rnacentral:rRNA from 1 species
AUUGAACGCUGGCGGCAUGCCUUACACAUGCAAGUCGAACGGCAGCACGGGGCAACCUGGUGGCGAGUGGCGAACGGGUGAGUAAUGUAUCGGAACGUACCUUUCAGUGGGGGAUAACGUAGCGAAAGUUACGCUAAUACCGCAUAUUCUGUGUGCAGGAAAGCAGGGGAUCGCAAGACCUUGCGCUGAUUGAGCGGCCGAUAUCAGAUUAGCUAGUUGGUGAGGUAAAGGCUCACCAAGGCGACGAUCUGUAGCGGGUCUGAGAGGAUGAUCCGCCACACUGGAACUGAGACACGGUCCAGACUCCUACGGGAGGCAGCAGUGGGGAAUUUUGGACAAUGGGGGCAACCCUGAUCCAGCCAUGCCGCGUGAGUGAAGAAGGCCUUCGGGUUGUAAAGCUCUUUCGGCCGGGAAGAAAUCGUAUCAGCUAAUACCUGGUGCGGAUGACGGUACCGGCAUAAGAAGCACCGGCUAACUACGUGCCAGCCGCCGCAGUAAUAC